GCAGCACCUGAGCCCCAAACGGCUGCCCCUCGACAUCCCAGAGAACUGGCUUGGGACGGGACGACGUGUGCUGGCGGAGUCUGGAGACGCGGGGGAGAGGUGGAGUGAGGACUUCCAAUCACGUUAAGAUGAAACUGAGAACAAAGGUCCUACACCCGCAAUGGAACAGCCGUCUUGUAGGCGUGAAGACCCGAGUCACGUCCUACGUGGUGGAUGAGGAAGAGGGAAGCGUGGCUGUUCCCACCCGGGCUGCCCUCCCCUGGAGCCUGCUGUACAAGCAGUAAACGCCUCACUGUACCAGCUACUGUCUGUGAAGCUCCUGCUGUGUGUUGCCAAAAUAACUCUUAAGUAAUAAGCUGCUAAAUUACUUCCAUGAACAUCCAGUAAAAUAAAAUGAUUUAGAAUUUAUCUGAAAAAGCA